rnacentral:lncRNA from 1 species
UGUCUCUUUGCAGAAACCACACUGCAUUGUCAUGAAAGGGCCAUUUGAACAAGGUAGCUACAAUGAAAUUAUCUCAAUGCAUUUCAAUCACUUUGCAACAUCAAGGUUCAUUUCUCAGUAACAGUCUCUUUGACAAUAAAUGAAUUGCGUGAUUGGUGUGUGUUUGCGUGUGUGCAUGUGUGUGACACCCCUUCAUGAUGAAUUCCUGGGUAUGCCAAUGUUACAAGUGAUUGGUCUUUGCAUCCAUCUCUUAGCAUAAAUCCCCAGCAUCAACGUGACAUGUUGAGCAGCACCGAGCCCCCUGGAUUCUCUCAGUCUUGGUGAGAGAGGGAGUGGGGACUGUGUUCACGCUGUUACAAAAGGACAUCUAAGAGGGACAGCAGGGAGGAAGCUGGGCAGAAAUGCUCCGAAUCAAUAGCUCUUUCUUCUUGGUGGCUUGGAGCUUGCAAUCUCUCAGCCUGUGUCGAGUCAUCAUGAAACUGAAGAAUCCUUGGAAAGUCACUGGGUUGGGCACUUUUAAAAGUAGAGUCUUUUCUGUUCUGCUUAGAAACUCUCAUGGCAUGCUACAGAGAAAAGAGGAGCAGAGGCCCACAGAGCUCCCUUCACCAGAGAAGGGAGCGAGGAGGUCAGAGGGUGGAGGAGGUGGGCUGGGAUCUCCCAGGGCAGCACCUGGGCGGAGUUCUGGAGCCACUCCCAGCCUGGGGAGAAGCCCUGCCCCUACUGUUUGCUAAAAGUUUGGACAAAUCCUUCUCUGCCCUGUACCUCAGGUUUUCCAUCUGUAAAGUGGGAAGACAACCAUCCCACAGAGGUGCCAUGAAAGAUUUUUAGGGAGUACCUAAAAGGUUCUUUAGGUGCUAGUCAAGUCCCGGGGUCUCGAUGUGUCAUUAACUUGCUGUGUGGUCUUGAGCAAGUUACUUAAGAUUUGUUAGGUCUCCUUCCUUUCUUUAUAACAGGGUAAUAACCUACCUCCCUAUUUAACUUAUGAGUAAAGCAGAAUGGCUGUGAGAGUGGGCCUGGAGCCAAAGAUACCUGACUGUAAAUCUGAGCUCUGCUCCAUCAUCUUGGGUAGUCUGCUAAGGUUUCUGUCUCCUGUCCAAACCUUCAUCUGUAAACGGGAGCAAAUCAUCUCUAAUUUGUAGACCUGUUGUGAGAAUUUAAUGAUAAUGCAUGUAAAAUGCCUAGCAGGGGCCUGUCACAUAGAAUGUACCCUAUUGAUGGUAGCUGCAGGUAUAUUACAAGGUUGUACUGAAAAACAAAUGAAAGAAAGCAAUCUUUCCUUGAAAAAUGCACAGAGCUCCACAAAUCUAUGACAUCAUGAUGAUUAUGAUGAUUGUUGCAAAUGUCACAUCUUCAUGUGGAGUCGAGGUGGGCAUUAGCCACACUGUUCCCAUUACUCAAACCCCAGAUGCUCCAAUGACAGAGCCUCUGCUGAGAGGCUGACGUCAGGGAGAGGUGGAGGAGGGCAGAUCUCCCAACCCUUGGCUUCCACCAGCUUCCUCUCACCGUGGAGCCCUAAGGCCUCAGCAGACACGCUGACUUCUUUUCAGAACAAAGCACAGCAAAACAAAACACACAGCGGCUGCUGAAUGGAAAACACUUGCACUCUAGAAAGGCUGGCAAAUUCCCUGCCUCGUCCCACCCUGCACGGACAGGGCCCUCUCUGCCCAGCCACCUCCUGGUGCACCCCGCUGUAUCUCUGACCACACUUUAAAUGUGCACCCUAGGAGGUGGAUGCUCUGCAGAGAGUGUGUGUGUCUGAUCUGAGGCCUGUGGUCCCCUGAAGAAAGACCAACAGGACUGGGUGCCAUCCUGUGCCCAAGUUGUUCCCAGGAGGAGAAAGCCUGUAGGAGGGGAGCAAGCUCCCAUUCUGCCUCCAUUCCUUGCAAGGUCAGCCAGCUACAUGCUUUCUUCUGGCUGGGCCCCUGAGGGCAAUUGUUGCUUUUUCCUCUUGAGGAGUCUUUUUAUUUUCAGAGUGGCAGGGAGGAUGGUUUAUGGCUGGGCUGCCAUGAGCGGCUGCUGCAGGCUGUGCACUGCACAAGGCCAAGGCUUACCAUUUGCAUGGUCUGCGGAGGAAUGGUGCUCCUGAGAGCUGUUCUCUGCAGCAGCUUUGCUCAUGGGGCACUGGUGAGCAGCAAACAGAAUCAUCGUCUUCAUCACCAUCAGCAGGAGCAGUGACUUUACCAAUGAUUGAUCAGCUGUUAUGUGCCAGGCUCUGUGCUAAGUGCUUUACAUUUUAUCCUCCCCUCCACCCUAUAUCAGCUUCCUGAGGCCUCACCAGAAGCUGAGAAGAUACUGGAACCGUGCUUCCUGUACAGCCUGCAGAACUAAUCUGGCCCCUGUGCUGUGAGAAGCCUACCCCACAUGGAAAUAUACACAGAGGAAAAUGGAGGCAGUGGCCAAAAACAUAAGUCAAGCUCCUAGUCAACAGCCAGUGCUGAUUAUCAGCCAUGUGAGUGAACCACUAGGGCCUUCUAGCCCAGUCAAGCCUUCAGAUGACUGCAGCCCCCGAUGUCACUAUACGGAGCAGGUGAACCACUCAACUGAACAUUGCCAAGCCACAGAACCAUGAAAGGGAAGACUGGAAAUAGAGUCCUUUAUCUCAGAUAUCAAACCCUGGCCCAGGAUACACAAGACCAGGAGUCAUCACCAUCAGUAACAGUAACAACAGCUUCAUUAACAAGUUGCUGUUCCGACGUGGGCUCCGGGGUGGGGAAGGAAGGAGGGCGUUCGGCUCAACGUCCAGGAGAGGCACCGGCGAACUCGAGAGCCAAGAGCGGCACUCCCACCUGGGCACUCCUUGCUGAUGGACCGGGACCUCCUCUCCCAUUUCUCCGGGGCCUCCAGGGCCCUCCCGCACAUUCAGCAUGAUCUCUGAGGAGUUCACUAGCUUUCCUCCCUCCGCUCUCCAGCUCCCGUUCCUACCAAAUGCACCAAUCAUCACUAAGCCAGGUCAAAGGCCAUGGGAUCAGCUGUGAUCUCUCCCUUCCUUUUUCAUUCUCCUCUCCUCAUAUCCAAACUGUCAUUAAACUCAGUGUUUCUUCCUUCAGGCUGUUUCUUGAAUUGGUUUCUUCUCUAUCCCACUAUUACUGUCCUGAUCCGUGCUAAUCCAACAGUUUCUGCCCCCACCCCAGGACAGCUUGUGUUAUCACGGCCAGGUGGAUCUUUCUAGAACACCAAGCUCAGCGUAUCCCUUCUGAUCAACAGAGAAGGAGAGGAGAGCCUACACUGUGCUGGGUCACUGUGUUACGCUAUGUGCUUGUUUCAUUUAAUACCGU